CAUUGUCCGUGUCAUGUCACAUAAUUUGACGCUUCCCGUUCUCGGUUUCGAGUUCCGUUUAAUCGAGUAGGCGAAAUCAAGUAACCGCCACCCCAGUGCUAGUGAUUUCAUGCGGAGUAACGAUUUUCACCCACAUUUCGGGGGACCACUAUCAUUGCAAUCGCACUUUAUCUGAUGCUUCUAUACUUACACGUAGAAUACAUUGUUUGUACACUCGCGGCGGGAUUGUAACCGCAGCAUGACGAUGAUGCGCCCUCCUGAUUUGUACAUUCAAUUGAGUUAAUUUUCGACGGAAUGUGGGAUAUGCGAGUGGGGACCUGUUAUUGUUGAGAUCAGAUGAAUCAGGAGGCAAACUGUGUGUGUGAAAUCUGGUGUUUACUUCAUAACCCUUUUCCCUGCUUUCUUUUGUAUUCCUGCAAUAUCCUAUUCGGAUUUUAUAUGAAAAUAUAAAACCGUUAAAACAAGUAAAAUAUUUUUUCAUAAAUCGUUUUGGAGAACAAUCCGAAAACAUAAAUCUAGGAAUAUAUGUGAAACUGAGUGGUAGUUUUAAUUGUGUACAACACGUGGUGUGUAACAAACUAUCAAGUGACUCACUAAUAUUUAUUCACAUUCCGAUGAAUGGCACUCGUUGAUUGAAUGAUUUAAGUUAGUUUUUCAAAUAUCUUUAACCAGUUAACCGCUACUAUUCGAUGUUAAUGGAUUAAGUUGUUUCAUCGAGAAAGGAUAAUAAAAUAAUUUAUAUUCAUAGUAGACAAAGCAGUUUAAAUUUUUGGGUGUGCUUAUAUGAAAAAUAUAGAAUAUCGGAUGAAAACGAAUAAUUUAAGUUCAACUAUUGUUGAAGUAGGAAGAAAGUUUUUAGACUUUGAGGAAUAUCUCAGUGCAGGAUGUUCUCCACAUCGUCGGUUCAAUGAAACACCGACACAUCUUUAAAUCUGUAAAUUAUUAGAAUCCAGAAGGGUUUCUUCGUGAACAGGUUUGAUAUCGCAUUAAAAUCAAAUGAGGUUAGUGUUACGUAUAGCAGAUGAUUUUGUCAUGUUGUUGUUUUGUUAGGCUGGGGAAUCAAAGUUUUCAAAUAAGUUGAUCGUAAAUAUUUAGAACUAGACGUUAAUACUAUAGCGUCUAUAAAAAUCAAGAGAAAGAGCAAAUGAACGCUUUGAAUAUUACGUACUUCAAUAUACACUUGAAUACAAUAACAUUGUGUGGGACAGAAAUCUUGAACCGUAGCAAAUUAAAAACGCAAUUGUUAUACGAUAGACGGGCACGUAAAACACCUGGUGCAAAAUUAUCAAUAUUUGUUAACUUUCUUAUCUUACCUAUACUCUAAAGUGAUACAAGCUGUGCGUAGUGCGUUUAUAAACCAUAAAAACGAUUCUCUAUGUAUACAUCAGUCCCAGGAAUCUACAAAAGUCACGUUAGGUGUCAUUAAACCCUCAGCUGAUUCUAGGAUUUUGGCAACGUAAACGUUUCUUUUCAACUCGUCCAGAAAACAGAGGACUAAUCUCCCCAUCAACAACCGCGGCCAUUAUUUAGCCUUCGUUAUUGCACGAGCUCCAAGGAUAAGCUACGACGACUGAAGAUCCUUCAAAACAACAGUAGCAGCAACUAAACAGAGCAGAAGCAGUUUCGGAUACAACGCAAAGGCAAGUCGACCAAUCAUCUGCAGAGACACACAGGAGCACGCAUCAUUAGUUAUCAUAAUAAAGAAUUUGAAUUGUAAA